rnacentral:rRNA from 1 species
GGAUUAGAUACCCUGGUAGUCCACGCCGUAAACGAUGGAUACCAGCUGUAUGUCUACCUCAGGUAGAUGUGUGGCCAAGCGAAAGUGAUAAGUAUCCCACCUGGGGAGUACGAUCGCAAGAUUGAAACUCAAAGGAAUUGACGGGGGCCCGCACAAGCGGUGGAGCAUGUGGUUUAAUUCGAUGAUACGCGAGGAACCUUACCAGGGCUUAAAUGUAACGGGACAGGUCUAGAGAUAGACUCUUCUUCGGACUCAUUACAAGGUGCUGCAUGGUCGUCGUCAGCCGUGCCGC